rnacentral:rRNA from 1 species
CCGGCACGGGUGAGUAACACGUAUCCAACCUGCCGUCUACUCUCGGACAGCCUUCUGAAAGGAAGAUUAAUACAAGAUGGCAUCAUGAGUUCACAUGUUCACAUGAUUAAAGGUAUUCCGGUAGACGAUGGGGAUGCGUUCCAUUAGAUAGUAGGCGGGGUAACGGCCCACCUAGUCUUCGAUGGAUAGGGGUUCUGAGAGGAAGGUCCCCCACAUUGGAACUGAGACACGGUCCAA